rnacentral:tRNA from 1 species
GCGAAUAUGGCGAAAUUGGUAAACGCAACGGACUUAAAAUCCGUCCCUUGUUACAAGGUUGUGGGUUCGACUCCCACUAUUCGCA